rnacentral:rRNA from 2 species
GAAUGGGGAAACCCAGUGUGAUUCGUCACACUAUCAUUAACUGAAUCCAUAGGUUAAUGAGGCGAACCGGGGGAACUGAAACAUCUAAGUACCCCGAGGAAAAGAAAUCAACCGAGAUUCCCCCAGUAGCGGCGAGCGAACGGGGAGCAGCCCAGAGCCUGAAUCAGUGUGUGUGUUAGUGGAAGCGUCUGGAAAGGCGUGCGAUACAGGGUGACAGCCCCGUACACAAAAAUGCACAUACUGUGAGCUCGAUGAGUAGGGCGGGACACGUGGUAUCCUGUCUGAAUAUGGGGGGACCAUCCUCCAAGGCUAAAUACUCCUGACUGACCGAUAGUGAACCAGUACCGUGAGGGAAAGGCGAAAAGAACCCCGGCGAGGGGAGUGAAAAAGAACCUGAAACCGUGUACGUACAAGCAGUGGGAGCACGCUUAGGCGUGUGACUGCGUACCUUUUGUAUAAUGGGUCAGCGACUUAUAUUCUGUAGCAAGGUUAACCGAAUAGGGGAGCCGAAGGGAAACCGAGUCUUAACUGGGCGUUAAGUUGCAGGGUAUAGACCCGAAACCCGGUGAUCUAGCCAUGGGCAGGUUGAAGGUUGGGUAACACUAACUGGAGGACCGAACCGACUAAUGUUGAAAAAUUAGCGGAUGACUUGUGGCUGGGGGUGAAAGGCCAAUCAAACCGGGAGAUAGCUGGUUCUCCCCGAAAGCUAUUUAGGUAGCGCCUCGUGAAUUCAUCUCCGGGGGUAGAGCACUGUUUCGGCAAGGGGGUCAUCCCGACUUACCAACCCGAUGCAAACUGCGAAUACCGGAGAAUGUUAUCACGGGAGACACACGGCGGGUGCUAACGUCCGUCGUGAAGAGGGAAACAACCCAGACCGCCAGCUAAGGUCCCAAAGUCAUGGUUAAGUGGGAAACGAUGUGGGAAGGCCCAGACAGCCAGGAUGUUGGCUUAGAAGCAGCCAUCAUUUAAAGAAAGCGUAAUAGCUCACUGGUCGAGUCGGCCUGCGCGGAAGAUGUAACGGGGCUAAACCAUGCACCGAAGCUGCGGCAGCGACGCUUAUGCGUUGUUGGGUAGGGGAGCGUUCUGUAAGCCUGUGAAGGUGUGCUGUGAGGUAUGCUGGAGGUAUCAGAAGUGCGAAUGCUGACAUAAGUAACGAUAAAGCGGGUGAAAAGCCCGCUCGCCGGAAGACCAAGGGUUCCUGUCCAACGUUAAUCGGGGCAGGGUGAGUCGACCCCUAAGGCGAGGCCGAAAGGCGUAGUCGAUGGGAAACAGGUUAAUAUUCCUGUACUUGGUGUUACUGCGAAGGGGGGACGGAGAAGGCUAUGUUGGCCGGGCGACGGUUGUCCCGGUUUAAGCGUGUAGGCUGGUUUUCCAGGCAAAUCCGGAAAAUCAAGGCCGAGGCGUGAUGACGAGGCACUACGGUGCUGAAGCAACAAAUGCCCUGCUUCCAGGAAAAGCCUCUAAGCAUCAGGUAACAUCAAAUCGUACCCCAAACCGACACAGGUGGUCAGGUAGAGAAUACCAAGGCGCUUGAGAGAACUCGGGUGAAGGAACUAGGCAAAAUGGUGCCGUAACUUCGGGAGAAGGCACGCUGAUACGUAGGUGAAGCGACUUGCUCGUGGAGCUGAAAUCAGUCGAAGAUACCAGCUGGCUGCAACUGUUUAUUAAAAACACAGCACUGUGCAAACACGAAAGUGGACGUAUACGGUGUGACGCCUGCCCGGUGCCGGAAGGUUAAUUGAUGGGGUUAGCGCAAGCGAAGCUCUUGAUCGAAGCCCCGGUAAACGGCGGCCGUAACUAUAACGGUCCUAAGGUAGCGAAAUUCCUUGUCGGGUAAGUUCCGACCUGCACGAAUGGCGUAAUGAUGGCCAGGCUGUCUCCACCCGAGACUCAGUGAAAUUGAACUCGCUGUGAAGAUGCAGUGUACCCGCGGCAAGACGGAAAGACCCCGUGAACCUUUACUAUAGCUUGACACUGAACAUUGAGCCUUGAUGUGUAGGAUAGGUGGGAGGCUUUGAAGUGUGGACGCCAGUCUGCAUGGAGCCGACCUUGAAAUACCACCCUUUAAUGUUUGAUGUUCUAACGUGGACCCGUGAUCCGGGUUGCGGACAGUGUCUGGUGGGUAGUUUGACUGGGGCGGUCUCCUCCUAAAGAGUAACGGAGGAGCACGAAGGUUGGCUAAUCCUGGUCGGACAUCAGGAGGUUAGUGCAAUGGCAUAAGCCAGCUUGACUGCGAGCGUGACGGCGCGAGCAGGUGCGAAAGCAGGUCAUAGUGAUCCGGUGGUUCUGAAUGGAAGGGCCAUCGCUCAACGGAUAAAAGGUACUCCGGGGAUAACAGGCUGAUACCGCCCAAGAGUUCAUAUCGACGGCGGUGUUUGGCACCUCGAUGUCGGCUCAUCACAUCCUGGGGCUGAAGUAGGUCCCAAGGGUAUGGCUGUUCGCCAUUUAAAGUGGUACGCGAGCUGGGUUUAGAACGUCGUGAGACAGUUCGGUCCCUAUCUGCCGUGGGCGCUGGAGAACUGAGGGGGGCUGCUCCUAGUACGAGAGGACCGGAGUGGACGCAUCACUGGUGUUCGGGUUGUCAUGCCAAUGGCACUGCCCGGUAGCUAAAUGCGGAAGAGAUAAGUGCUGAAAGCAUCUAAGCACGAAACUUGCCCCGAGAUGAGUUCUCCCUGACCCUUUAAGGGUCCUGAAGGAACGUUGAAGACGACGACGUUGAUAGGCCGGGUGUGUAAGCGCAGCGAUGCGUUGAGCUAACCGGUACUAAUGAACCGUGAGGCUUAACCUU